GUCUUUGUAGCUUAAACAAAGCAUAACACUGAAGAUGUUAAGAUGUUGUUAACUACACCCAAAGACA
rnacentral:tRNA from 1 species